CCUAAAUAAGGAAUACUUGGGAUCAGAGACUCAAACAUGGUCUUCUAUGACUGUGGUCAAAUCAUGGUAUUUCUCAUCAGAAAAUCAAAAUAUGUUACUGCUACUUUCAAGUUCAGGAGGUCAAGUUUCAAACAUGGAAGUGAGAGGUGAAGCCACUGGGCUUCUGGGUUGGUGGAGACUUGGAGAACUUUUCUGUCUAGCUAAAGGAUUGUAAACACACCAAUCAGUGCUCUGUGUCUAGCUAAAGGUUUGUAAACGCACCAAUCAGCACUCUGUAAAAAUGCACCAAUCAGUGCUCUGUGUCUAGCUAAAGAUUUGUAAACGCAGCAAUCAGCACUCUGUAAAAAUGGACUAAUCAGCACUCUGUAAAAUGGACCAAUCAGCAGGACGUGGGUGGGGCCAAAUAAGGGAAUAAAAGCUGGCCACCCGAGCCAGCAGCAGCAACCUGUGGGUCCCCUUCCAGGCUGUGGAAGCUUUCUUUUUU
rnacentral:lncRNA from 1 species